AACAAACGCUGGCGGCGCGCCUAAUACAUGCAAGUCGAACGGGGAAAGCUUUCGGGUGAGUACUAGUGGCGCACGGGUGAGGAACGCGUGGAUAAUCUGCCUUAGAGUGGGGGAUAACUAGUCGAAAGAUUAGCUAAUACCGCAUAAGACCACAGGAGCUGCGGCUCAAGGGGUCAAAGGUUUGUCGCUCUAAGAUGAGUCCGCGUAAGAUUAGCUAGUUGGUGAGGUAACGGCUCACCAAGGCGACGAUCUUUAACUGGUCUGAGAGGAUGAUCAGUCACACUGGAACUGAGACACGGUCCAGACUCCUACGGGAGGCAGCAGUAGGGAAUAUUGCACAAUGGAGGAAACUCUGAUGCAGCGACGCCGCGUGAGUGAUGAAGGCCUUCGGGUCGUAAAGCUCUGUCGCAGGGGAAUAACACAAUGAAUGUACCCUGUAAGAAAGGAUCGGCUAACUUCGUGCCAGCCGCCGCGGUAAAAC
rnacentral:rRNA from 1 species